CCUUCACUGUGACUCUGCUGCAG
rnacentral:miRNA from 1 species